GCCCCGAUAGUCCAAUGGCAGAGACAAUGUGCUCAAACCACAUCCAGUGUGGGUUCGAAUCCCACUCGGGGCA
rnacentral:tRNA from 2 species